CAGCCGCCGCGGGAAUACGUAGGGUGCAAGCGUUAAUCGGAAUUACUGGGCGUAAAGCGUGCGCAGGCGGUUUUGUAAGUUUGUCGUGAAAGCCCCGGGCUCAACCUGGGAAUUGCGAUGAAGACUGCAAGGCUUGAAUCUGGCAGAGGGGGGUAGAAUUCCACGUGUAGCAGUGAAAUGCGUAGAGAUGUGGAGGAACACCGAUGGCGAAGGCAGCCCCCUUGGUCAAGAUUGACGCUCAUGCACGAAAGCGUGGGGAGCAAACAGGAUUAGAGACCCCCGUAGUCCCUGUCUCUUAUAC
rnacentral:rRNA from 1 species